rnacentral:rRNA from 1 species
CUAAGAAUAUUCCGCAAUGGACGGAAGUCUGACGGAGCGACGCCGCGUGGAUGACGAAGGCCAAAAGGUUGUAAAGUUCUUUUGCUGGGGAAGAAUAACCGCAGGAGGGAAUGCCUGUGGGAUGACAAGAACCGGCGAAUAAGCCCCGGCCAACUACGUGCCAGCAGCCGCGGUAACACGUAGGGGGGCGAGCGUUGUUCGGAAUUACUGGGCGUAAAGGGCAUGUAGGCGGCUUGGAAAGCCUGGCGUGAAAGUCUGCAGCUUAACUGCAGGGGUGCGCUGGGAACUGCUGAGCUUGAGUGACGGAGAGGGAGCUGGAAUUCCUGGUGUAGGGGUGAAAUCUGUAGAUAUCAGGAAGAACACCGAUGGCGAAGGCAAGCUCCUGGCCGAUGACUGACGCUGAGGUGCGAAAGUGUGGGGAUCAAACAGGAUUAGAUACCCUGGUAGUCCACACAGUCAACGAUGUGCACUAGGUGCUGGGGCGGUAGCUUCGGUGCCGGAGCGAACGUGGUAAGUGCACCGCCUGGGGAGUAUGCUCGCAAGGGUGAAACUC